GAGAGCCUCCCUGGUGGAGAGCCACACCCAGGUUGUCAUUCUGGGAUUGAGCAACCCUUUCAGGGUUGAGCCAAUUUCUAGGUCAUGUGGAGUGGGCCAGCUUUAAUGAACCUGUCUAAAAGGAAGGAAGAGAAAGCUCAGCUCAUCGGGAAAGGGAGGAGGACCUUGACAGCCGUCUCACUCCUCACCAGCUCUUCUUCUUGGAUCUUGUUCUGACUCCUUGGUCCGCUAAUGGCCUCCUGGAUGAAAGAGUUAGGCAGAGAACAAAGAUUGGUGGCUUCCUCCUGAGCACUCUGGGAUGUGACAUUACUUUGGGGGCUGCUGAGUGCCCUUACCUACAGCUACCCAGAUGCAGAGGCAGGAAGCCGCACGCCAUUUGGAUUAUUGCACUUCUCAAAGUACAUGGAAAGACUUGGGACCAUCCAGAGAAGAAUGUUACAAACAAAAGGGCAGAAUGCAUGAUGGCAAAGAUGCCCCAUGAGGAAAGGCUGAAGAAUCAGGACUAGUGGAGCUAAAGAGAAAAACUCAAGUGAUAAAACAUUAUUGUUUUCAAAAAUGUCCCAGGUUUUUGGCUAGAAGAUGUCACUCAUACGUUUCCCGAACACAUGGCGGCCCCUGGAAGACAAAAGUAAAGAUGGAAACCAG
rnacentral:lncRNA from 13 species